UGGGGAAUUUUGGACAAUGGGCGAAAGCCUGNUCAGCAAUGCCGCGUGUGUGAAGAAGGCCUUCGGGUUGUAAAGCACUUUUGUCCGGAAAGAAAUCCUUGGCUCUAAUACAGUCGGGGGAUGACGGUACCGGAAGAAUAAGCACCGGCUAACUACGUACCAGCAGCCGCGGUAAUACGUAGGGUGCAAGCGUUAAUCGGAAUUACUGGGCGUAAAGCGUGCGCAGGCGGUUUGCUAAGACCGACGUGAAAUCCCCGGGCUCAACCUGGGAACUGCAUUGGUGACUGGCAGGCUAGAGUAUGGCAGGAGGGGGGUAGAAUUCCACGUGUAGCAGUGAAAUGCGUAGAGAUGUGGAGGAAUACCGAUGGCGAAGGCAGCCCCCUGGGGCCAAUACUGACGCUCAUGCACGAAAGCGUGGGGAGCAAACAGGAUUAGAUACCCUGGGUAGUCCACGCCCUAAACGAUGUCAACUAGUUGUUGGGGAUUCAUUCCUUAGUAACGUAGCUAACGCGUGAAGUUGACCGCCUGGGGAGUACGGUCGCAAGAUUAAAACUC
rnacentral:rRNA from 1 species